AGAAAGUUCCAGAAGGCUAUAUCUUAAUGCAGCAACAGGCUUUGUCUAAAAAGGAUUCCACCAUUUGUGAUAGUGGAUCUUCUGAGAAGAUAUAUGAUGAGUUCUGCCCGUUGUUGCUGAAUCAGCUUAAGUGUCGGAAUUUUAUGAAGUUUGAAACAUUUGAUGCAGCAUUGGAUGAGUUCUAUAGUAAGAUUGAAAGUCAACGUUCUGAACAACAGCAAAAGUCCAAAGAAAGCACUGCAAUGCAGAGACUUAAUAAGAUUCGCACUGAUCAGGAAAACCGUG
rnacentral:misc_RNA from 1 species